UACAGAGGGUGCGAGCGUUGUCCGGAAUCACUGGGCGUAAAGGGCGCGUAGGUGGUGGCUUAAGCGUGCGGUGAAAGCUCGGGGCUCAACUCCGAGUCGGCCGUGCGAACUGGGCUCACUGGAGCAUAGUAGAGGCAGGUGGAAUUCCGGGUGUAGCGGUGGAAUGCGUAGAGAUCCGGAAGAACACCGGUGGCGAAGGCGGCCUGCUGGGCUGUUGCUGACGCUGAGGCGCGACAGCGUGGGGGAGCAAACAGG
rnacentral:rRNA from 1 species